AGACCCGAAACCCGGUGAUCUAGCCAUGGGCAGGUUGAAGGUUGGGUAACACUAACUGGAGGACCGAACCGACUAAUGUUGAAAAAUUAGCGGAUGACUUGUGGCUGGGGGUGAAAGGCCAAUCAAACCGGGAGAUAGCUGGUUCUCCCCGAAAGCUAUUUAGGUAGCGCCUCGUGAAUUCAUCUCCGGGGGUAGAGCACUGUUUCGGCAAGGGGGUCAUCCCGACUUACCAACCCGAUGCAAACUGCGAAUACCGGAGAAUGUUAUCACGGGAGACACACGGCGGGUGCUAACGUCCGUCGUGAAGAGGGAAACAACCCAGACCGCCAGCUAAGGUCCCAAAGUCAUGGUUAAGUGGGAAACGAUGUGGGAAGGCCCAGACAGCCAGGAUGUUGGCUUAGAAGCAGCCAUCAUUUAAAGAAAGCGUAAUAGCUCACUGGUCGAGUCGGCCUGCGCGGAAGAUGUAACGGGGCUAAACCAUGCACCGAAGCUGCGGCAGCGACACUGUGUGUUGUUGGGUAGGGGAGCGUUCUGUAAGCCUGUGAAGGUGUGCUGUGAGGCAUGCUGGAG
rnacentral:rRNA from 1 species